rnacentral:rRNA from 1 species
AGCGAAAUGCGAUAAGUAGUGUGAAUUGCAGAAUUCAGUGAAUCAUCGAAUCUUUGAACGCACAUUGCGCCCCUUGGUAUUCCAUGGGGCAUGCCUGUUCGAGCGUCAUUU